GUUCCCCCCGUUCCCGUGCAGUUUUGUUUUUGAGAGCUAGUAGUGAAUUAGAAAGUUCGUUUACGCAUGGAGUGACAACCGAGGUUAAGCAUCUUAAACCAGGUGUGAGAGGCCGAACCUCACCCAAGGAGUAUCUCGGUUGGAGACGUACAAGGAUAUUUAACGAAUUAUUAGACUUGGAGGACGUUGUUUAUGCCAGGCCGCAGCACUCGUUUUAAUUAAUCCAAAUUGCUUGAUGGCGCAGACGAUGUUGACUAGUCGUCGGACACUAACAAGCUCUGGUCUCGAGUCUCUCUCUCCACCUACAAAAUCGGGAACGUCUCUUGUCAACUCUUUUAUAUCCAUCUGGCGUCCACAUUUCGAAGGAAAGAAAGAAAGAAGGAAGGAAAGAAAGGGGGAAAGAAAGAGAGGAGG